rnacentral:snRNA from 1 species
AUCACUUCUCAACCUCUAAUGAAGAUCAAAUGUAGUAUCCUUUCUUAUCACUUUAAUAUCUAAUCUGUCCUCUCUCUGAGAACAAUAUAGUCAAUGAAUUUUGAGAGCAGGAAGAUAGAAGGUUGCUCUAUCCACCCUGGGAAUCGACCUGGUAUUGCAGAACCUAUGGGAACAGUACAUCCCCC